AACGAACGCUGGCGGCGUGGAUAAGACAUGCAAGUCGAGCGGGACUUGGUUUGUAGUAAUACAGAUUAAGUUCAGCGGCGAACGGGUGCGUAACACGUGAGUAAUCUGCCGGGAAGUGGGGGAUAGCUCGCCGAAAGGCGAAUUAAUACCGCAUGUGGCCAUUCUCCGAUUGGGGGAAAAGCCAAAGCAGCAAUGCGCUUCCUGAUGAACUCGCGGCCUAUCAGCUAGAUGGCGGGGUAACAGCCCACCAUGGCGAUGACGGGUAGCUGGUCUGAGAGGACGACCAGCCACACUGGAACUGAGACACGGUCCAGACACCUACGGGUGGCAGCAGUCGAGAAUUUUUCACAAUGGGGGAAACCCUGAUGGAGCGACGCCGCGUGGAGGAUGAAGGCCUUCGGGUUGUAAACUCCUGUCAUGCGGGAACAAGAAAGUGAUAGUACCGCAAGAGGAAGAGACGGCUAACUCUGUGCCAGCAGCCGCCGUAAUAC
rnacentral:rRNA from 1 species